rnacentral:rRNA from 1 species
UACGUAGGGCGCAAGCGUUAUCCGGAAUUAUUGGACGUAAAGAGCUCGUAGGCGGUUUGUCGCGUCUGCCGUGAAAGUCCGGGGCUCAACUCCGGAUCUGCGGUGGGUACGGGCAGACUAGAGUGAUGUAGGGGAGACUGGAAUUCCUGGUGUAGCGGUGAAAUGCGCAGAUAUCAGGAGGAACACCGAUGGCGAAGGCGGGUCUCUGGGCCGAUACUGACGCUGAGGAGCGAAAGCGUGGGUAGCAAACAGG